ensembl:snRNA U2 U2 spliceosomal RNA
AUCACUUCUCGGCCUUCUGGCUAAGAUCAAAUGUAGCAUCUGUUUUUAUCCGUUUAUGUUCAAGGUAAAUUGUGCAUGCACAUGCUGUAGUCUAGGUAGGAUUUGACCAGGUAACAGAGCAUCUCUGGUACGUGAGACUGG